rnacentral:tRNA from 1 species
CGCGGGAUGGAGAAGUAGUAUCUCGCAAGGCUCAUAACCUUGAGAUCCCAGGUGCAAAUCCUGGUCCCGCAACCA